GACAGAGGGUGCAAACGUUGUUCGGAAUUACUGGGCGUAAAGCGUGUGUAGGCGGCCACGUAAGUCGGAUGUGAAAGCCCCAGGCUCAACCUGGGAAGUGCACUCGAUACUGCGUGGCUUGAGUAUUGGAGAGGUUGGUGGAAUUCUCGGUGUAGAGGUGAAAUUCGUAGAUAUCGAGAGGAACACCGGUGGCGAAGGCGGCCAACUGGACGAAUACUGACGCUGAGACACGAAAGCGUGGGGAGCAAACAGG
rnacentral:rRNA from 1 species